rfam:Colletotrichum gloeosporioides Nara gc5 unplaced genomic scaffold scaffold724, whole genome shotgun sequence.
UCCUCGAUAGUCUAGUGGUGAGGAUAUCGGCUUGUCAUUAACACGAUUCGCCGGGGACCGGGGUUCAAUUCCCCGUCGAGGAG